GGCACGGAAAGCAGGCCGGCCCGUUAGCAGCCCGCGCCCCAUCCUAGGAUACCUAACCCGCGCCCCCACUCGCCCAGGCCGCCGCCCUCAUUUCGACCGCCCCGUCUCCCAAGUUCCACUCCUCCCCGCCCCGGUUGUGCUUGGCGAUUUUCGUGCUCCCGCUCCCGGCGGCUCAGCCCGUGCCUCGCCGUCGCCUUGCUGCCUCCUCCGGUCCUCCCACCGUCGACGGCCGACGGCUCGCCACCUCCGACGUCUCUCGUGCUCCCUGACUCCCUCUCCUCCCUCCCUACGUCUCCCUGUUCCUAACCCUAACCCUAAUCCCAUUCGGAUCUGGUGAUUGGUGAUACCCUAACCCUCAAUCCCAUUCGGAUCUGGUGAUUGUUGAUGCUCGUUCAUCGUUGGUGCUCCUCGCUGGUCGGCUGGUGCUCCUCACCUCAUCGGAUCAAGUUGUAGCUUCACAGCUGGACGACUAGUGCUCCGUGCGGUGCCGGUGCGGGUGCGUGAUUCCCUUCCUGAUUCUUCUCUGUCUCCGGUCCGGUGGUCUGCUGCUCUGCGCCUUGUAUGGUCACUGGCUCACUCCUCACUGCCUCACUGGUGCAGUAGUGCCCCUGCUGGCUGCUUGGACAUCUAUAAUUUUGUUCUGUUUUCAUUUUCCUCCCAUUCUCGUCCUCCUUCUAACCUGUCCGGUUGCCUGACUUUCUCUGGUGCUCGGCUGGUCCUUGCUUGCUGUUGCUGGUCGAUCUGCGCCUCUGCUCGGCUGCUCCUCGGACAUUGGCUCCGUUCCGUCGUCUCUGGUGCUCCGGCUUCGAAAGCCGUUGAGGUAGCCGGAGCCGACUGUACGUUGUAGCUCAUGGACCUUGACGCGGCAGCGGAAGCAGAGGAGGAGGAGCGCAUACUCGAGGACUUUAAUGAGGCUGAGGAUGCUAGGUUCUUCAUUAAUGAGGCGGCCAUUGCACUAACAGCUCCAAAUAGUCAUUUCAUAUCUGUGUUUGUGUAAUAUCCUGUGAACCAGCUGUUAUUUGUUGUGUGAUUAAUUCUGUGUGAAUCCUGUGAUUAAUUCUGUGUGAAACAUGUGAUUAAUUCUGUGUGAAUCAUUCUGUGUGAAUCAUGUGGUUAA